rnacentral:rRNA from 1 species
CCCAGACUCCUACGGGAGGCAGCAGUGAGGAAUAUUGGUCAAUGGGCGGGAGCCUGAACCAGCCAAGUCGCGUGAGGGAAGACGGUCCUACGGAUUGUAAACCUCUUUUGUCAGGGAGCAACGCCGGCUACGUGUAGCCGGACUGAGAGUACCUGAAGAAAAAGCAUCGGCUAACUCCGUGCCAGCAGCCGCGGUAAUACGGAGGAUGCGAGCGUUAUCCGGAUUUAUUGGGUUUAAAGGGUGCGCAGGCGGAGGUGCAAGUCAGCGGUCAAAUUGCGGGGCUCAACCCCGUACUGCCGUUGAAACUGCAUCCCUUGAGUGCGCGAGAAGUAUGCGGAAUGCGUGGUGUAGCGGUGAAAUGCAUAGAUAUCACGCAGAACUCCGAUUGCGAAGGCAGCAUACCGGCGCGCAACUGACGCUCAUGCACGAAAGCGUGGGUAUCGAACAGGAUUAGAUACCCUAGUA